GUGGGGUAUGGCAGUGAAUAUAGCAGGUGGGGUAUGGCAGUGAAUAUGACAGGUGGGGUACAGCAGUGAAUAUGACAGGUGAAACACAGCAGUGAAUAUGGCAGGUGGGAUAUGGCAGUGAUUAUGGCAGGUGGGAUUCAGCAGUGAAUAUGAGAACUGAAACAUAGCAGUGAAUAUGGCAGGUGGGAUACGGCAGUGAAUAUGACAGGUGGGAUAUGGCAGUGAAUAUGGCAGGUGGGAUACGGCAGUGAAUAUGGCAGGUGGGACAUGGCAGUGAAUAUGACAGGUGGGAUAUGGCAGUGAAUAUGGCAGGUGGGAUUUGGAAGUGAAUAUGACAGGUGGGAUAUGGCAGUGAAUAUGGCAGGUGGGAUUUGGAAGUGAAUAUGACAGGUGAAACAUGGCAGUGAUUACGGCAGGUGGGAUUUGGAAGUGAAUAUGACAGGUAGAAUAUGGCAGUGACUAUGGCAAGUGGGAUUCAGCAGUGAAUAUGACAGGUGGAAUAUGGCAGUGAUUAUGGCAAGUAGGAUACGGCAGUGAAUAUGACAGGUGGGAUAUGGCAGUGAAUACGGCAGGUGGGAUAUGGCAGUUAAUAUGACAUGUGGAAUAUGGCAGUGAUUAUGGCAAGUGGGAUUCGGCAGUGAAUAUGACAAGUGGGAUACAGCAGUAAUUAUGGCAGGUGGGAUUUGGCAGUGAAUAUGACAGGUGAAACACGGCAGUGAAUAUGACAGGUGGGAUACAGCAGUGAUUAUGGCAGGUGGGAUUUGGCAAUGAAUAUGGCAGGUGGGAUAUGGGCAGUGAUUAUGGCAGGUGGGAU
rnacentral:lncRNA from 1 species